UCACAGAUUUGCAGUUGUUAUUGCACACACAACAUCUACGCUCAUCGCUGUGAGAGUAGAUAUGUGCUCUCUUAUUUGUUGUUGGGUUAUCAGUGGUGUUGUUAUGUCUGCUGGUAUUGUUGCUAUAUUUUCUAGUGGUGGGUUCUAUCGAUAUUGAACUGGCUGUUAAUCCAAUAUUAAAUACCCAAGUAUCAAAGUCACACAAAUUUGGCUUCUUAUUUUGACUGAGUAGCUGUCUUUUAAGAGUUGCCCACUGCAUUUGGUAUGAAGGUGGGAGUUUCUGCAACAAUUGGUGGAGUAAACAUGAAUUAUUUAAUUCAUCUGGCAAAUUGGCGGCAUUAAUUGUGGCAAUCAAACUACGAACAUUUAUUGCAAAGGACGUUGACCAUAUAGUAAGCGGAGAACAUCGAGGACGCCAGAGACGUUUGAGGGAUGUACUAGCAUAUGUUGGACGCUAUGGAGUGCUUCGCCUUUUAAUGACU